AACGAACGCUGGCGGCAGGCUUAACACAUGCAAGUCGAGCGCCCCGCAAGGGGAGCGGCAGACGGGUGAGUAACGCGUGGGAAUCUACCCAUCUCUACGGAAUAACGCAUGGAAACGUGUGCUAAUACCGUAUACGUCCUUCGGGAGAAAGAUUUAUCGGAGAUGGAUGAGCCCGCGUUGGAUUAGCUAGUUGGUGGGGUAAAGGCCUACCAAGGCGACGAUCCAUAGCUGGUCUGAGAGGAUGAUCAGCAACACUGGGACUGAGACACGGCCCAUACUCCUACGGGAGGCAGCAGUGGGGAAUAUUGGACAAUGGGCGCAAUCCUGAUCCAGCCAUGCCGCGUGAGUGAUGAAGGCCCUAGGGGUGUAAAGCUCUUUCACCGGUGAAGAUAAUGACGGUAACCGGAGAAGAAGCCCCGGCUAACUUCGUGCCAGCCGCCGCGGUAACAC
rnacentral:rRNA from 1 species